GACGCCUAAUUUUGUAUUUUUUUUUUUUUUUUAGAGAUGGGGUCUUGCUAUGUUGCCCACGCUUGUCUCCAACUCAGCUCAAGCAAUCCUCCCGCCUCAGUCACUGGGAGUUAAAAGCUGUCUGGGACUUAGAGAAGAGUUACUGGGCUGGCUGUGGUCAGAGACCAGGUGUCUGUGGUGGCUCCAGUCACCAGGCCAGGUGAACUCCUCCAAGCAGAGCUCAGCAGCCCAAUUCUUGGCUCAGAAGAGGUGGGCUUUGGGAUUUGUCCACACUUCGUUUUCCAGGAAGGGCUCCAAAUGCUGAGAAUCUUAAUAAGCUCCUUCUGGGGAGCUUGUUCCACUGUCACCCCACCUUCCUGAGUACUCACGUAUCUAGAGCAACUGGAGCCACGUGCUUGAGAGAGGCUGUGCAACUCACCCACAGCAGCCGCGAUCUGGGCCUCCUCCUAUGUUCCCCUGUUCAGACCCCUGCUCCAUGAACUGGGCGGACCCAUGUCCACUAAAGUGCUGAGGAAGUGACAGCGUGUGAUUUCUGAGGCUAGAUCAUAAAGGGCACAGCAGUUCUCACCUCACUCUUCUGCCUGGGUUACUGCAGAGUAAGCCAGCUACCAGUAAGCCACCCCAGCAACCCUUUGGAGAGGCAUGCGUGGAGAGCAGCCAAGGCCCUGGUGGUCCCCGGCCUCCUUGCCGUGUGAGUGAACCGUGCUGGAAGUGGGUUUUCUGGCUCCAGACCUCAGACACUGCAGCCUGUAUGGCGUCUUCCCUGAGACCUCAUAUGACCUCAAACUCAUACACUGGGUCUGUGGAAGGGAGCAGAUAACCUCUCUGUUUCUAGUUCUUAGACUAAGAGGAACUGGACACCAGGAGCCUCAUACCAGGACUGCCCAGCCGAGCCACUCGAUUCCUGACCCACAUGGCCCUUGAGAUGACAAGUGAUUGCUGCUUAAAGUCACUGAGUUCUGGAAUAAUUUACAUCAUGGCAAUAGGUAACUAAUGCAGAUUCUGGUACCUGGAAAAGGAGUGCUGACAUCAAACAGCUCUAUAGAUGUGGGCGUGGCCUCAGAACUGGCCACAGGCAGGAGCCAGAAGGACUCUGUGGAAAGCGUGAGUGUCUAAGGUGCUUUGAGAGACUGUAUAUAGAAGUCUCAUGGCCUUUAGGGAAGCUGCUGGGGAGGCCUAAAGGAAAGUGAGGAAACUCUUAGUGGAGAUUGGAAGAAACAGGGUCUCUGUUAUGAAAUAAAAGAACAUUUUGUAAAAAUGUGGUUGGUAGCAGAAAUGUAAGUUGAAUGUACCUCAUGAAGUGGGUGGUCUAGCUAAGGAGAUUUUCAGGCAGAAUGUGGAAGGUGUUGCUUGGCUUCUUACUGCUGCUCACAGUAAAAUAGGAGAGAGAGAAGGUAAAAACAAACAAACAAAACUGUUCAACAUAAAGGAACCGGGAUCUGCCGGUUUUAAAAAUGCCCAGCCUCUCCAGAUGGCACAUGAUGCUAACAUUAAGAAAUGGUUUCUAGGCAAAGAUCAAAUUCAGGGCACAGUCAAGAAAACACGGUCUACAGAUUAAACUUAGGAUGUGACUUAAAUCUUUUUGUGAAGACUUCAGAAAGAUCUAAAGUGAUGCCUCAAAGAGC
rnacentral:lncRNA from 1 species